ACGGGUGAGUAACGCGUGGGAAUCUACCCAUCUCUGCGGAAUAGCUCUGGGAAACUGGAAUUAAUACCGCAUACGCCCUACGAGGGAAAGAUUUAUCGGGGAUGGAUGAGCCCGCGUUGGAUUAGCUAGUUGGUGGGGUAAAGGCCUACCAAGGCGACGAUCCAUAGCUGGUCUGAGAGGAUGAUCAGCCACAUUGGGACUGAGACACGGCCCAAACUCCUACGGGAGGCAGCAGUGGGGAAUAUUGGACAAUGGGCGCAAGCCUGAUCCAGCCAUGCCGCGUGAGUGAUGAAGGCCUUAGGGUUGUAAAGCUCUUUCACCGAUGAAGAUAAUGACGGUAGUCGGAGAAGAAGCCCCGGCUAACUUCGUGCCAGCAGCCGCGGUAAUACGAAGGGGGCUAGCGUUGUUCGGAAUUACUGGGCGUAAAGCGCACGUAGGCGGAUAUUUAAGUCAGGGGUGAAAUCCCGCAGCUCAACUGCGGAACUGCCUUUGAUACUGGGUAUCUUGAGUAUGGAAGAGGUAAGUGGAAUUCCGAGUGUAGAGGUGAAAUUCGUAGA
rnacentral:rRNA from 1 species